GUCGGUAAAACUCGUGCCAGCCACCGCGGUUAUACGAGAGACCCAAGUUGUUAGACACCGGCGUAAAGAGUGGUUAAGAUACCUUCCCCAACUAAAGCCGAACGCCCUCAGAGCUGUUAUACGCAUCCGAAGGUAAGAAGCCCAACCACGAAAGUGGCUUUAUAUUGUCCGAACCCACGAAAGCUAUGACACAAACUGGGAUUAGAUACCCCACUAUG
rnacentral:rRNA from 1 species